GAUGAAGAACGUAGCGAAAUGCGAUAAGUAAUGUGAAUUGCAGAAUUCAGUGAAUCAUCGAAUCUUUGAACGCACAUUGCGCCCGCCAGUAUUCUGGCGGGCAUGCCUGUUCGAGCGUCAUUACAACCCUCAGGCCCCCGGGCCUGGCGUUGGGGAUCGGCGGAGCCCCCCGUGGGCACACGCCGCCCCCCAAAUACAGUGGCGGUCCCGCCGCAGCUUCCAUCGCGUAGUAGCUAACACCUCGCGACUGGAGAGCGGCGCGGCCACGCCGUAAAACACCCAACUCUUCUGAAGUUGACCUCGAAUCAGGUAGGAAUACCCGCUGAACUUAAGCAUAUCAAAAGCGGAGGA
rnacentral:misc_RNA from 1 species